rnacentral:rRNA from 1 species
UACGUAGGGGGCGAGCGUUGUCCGGAAUUACUGGGCGUAAAGGGCGUGUAGGCUGCUUAAUAAGUUAGAGGUGAAAUUCCGUGGCUUAACCACGGGACUGCCUCUAAAACUGUUAGGCUUGAGUGCAGGAGAGGGAAGCGGAAUUCCUGGUGUAGCGGUGAAAUGCGUAGAUAUCAGGAGGAACACUAGUGGCGAAGGCGGCUUCCUGGCCUGUAACUGACGCUGAGGCGCGAAAGCGUGGGUAGCGAAC